UACAGAGGGUGCGAGCGUUAAUCGGAAUUACUGGGCGUAAAGCGUGCGCAGGCGGUUUUGUAAGCCAGAUGUGAAAGCCCCGGGCUUAACCUGGGAAUGGCAUUUGGGACUGCAAGGCUAGAGUGCGGCAGAGGAGACUGGAAUUCCUGGUGUAGCAGUGAAAUGCGUAGAUAUCAGGAGGAAUACCGAUGGCGAAGGCAGGUCUCUGGGCUGACACUGACGCUCAUGCACGAAAGCGUGGGGAGCAAAACGG
rnacentral:rRNA from 1 species